CUCAUUUAAGGGUUGGCAGUGAAAGCUGGAGUAUUUCUUCCUGGUGGUCUGAGUGUUCCUGAAGAUUUCUGAAGAAACAAGAGAGGGAUGGUGCUGACUGAAAGGAAAUCGACUCUUUCUAAUGAAAAAUAAGGACUAUUUGCUUGGAAAGGACUAUUUAGGAGUGUGUGACUUCUGUACGUAUGCAGUCAACAUGAUACUGGUUUCUUCGGCUUGAUCAUCUUCUGGCUAUGUUCCUUUGGGUGGUAAAAGGAUAUAGAAGUCUUACCUCUUCAGAGGAGAGGAAGUGAGAAAGCUAGCUGGGUUGGCAGCAGAGAGCUGGCCAAAAUCGAUCCACUCCAGAUGCCACGUGAGAUGUGUAUGUUCCUAGUAUCUUUCAGUGUGAAGUCCUAAAACUGUGAGUUUGCACACGCAGGUUUUCUGUGUACUUCCCAGGAAGAGCCAGGUGUUUGCAAUUGUCCUCCCAAACUCAGACAUGUUACCGAAAGGCUAUAGUUGUCAAACCGUGCUCCAUAAAGCCGCGGUGGGCAGUGCAACUGAGCUGCACAGCCUUACGUGUGGCAUUUUCUGAUGGAGGUUUGGCAUUAUGCUAAUCUUGAAGCAAUUUGUACAGAUCCUAAUCCAAAUUCCUGAGGAACGUAUUGUUGUUUGAGGUUUUCAAAUCAGCUGAGAGUCAGAACUAGAAAGCAAUAUGGCUUAUGUGCCUCAUUGAAAGUCUGUGCUGUGGUUUUAGCUAUAGCUAUUUAGCUAUGUAUUUGUAUUUUAGACAGUCCCAGCCUGGGAGGGACUUGCUUCCAGAUGUCAUGUGAGCAGGAAAGAGGAAGGAAGGUUGCUGAGUAAUAGUUACUAAUGUGUGUAAUAAAUACUGUGGUGUUAGGCGCAUCUCUUCAUUGACACGGAGGACUUCAAGCUUCUAGCCUCUUUGAGGAUUGAAGUAUUAAGUAAAAAAAACAGUUCAUGUUUUUAAUUGGAGAUGAGAAUUUAUAAGAAUUUUUAUGCAUACAUUUUCAAGAACACUGCAAUUUGUAUCUUACUAAAUGUUAUGCAUGUCAUUUCCUUGCUCUCUUUUCUGUUAUUAGGUCCUUCGGGAUAAUUUUUUUUUUCCUAAGAAAGAAGCAAACUUUGUAACUUCUCUCCAUCUUUGUCAGUCCUGUUCAGUGCCCAGUUCCCCCACCUUCCCCCCCAAAAAAAACCCCAAAACCAACAACAAUGAUAAAAAAAAAAAAAAAACAACUACUUGCUAAAUAUGCAUGAAUUUCGAGCAAUUGCUAUGGAGUUGAAGAAAAAAGCCUACCUAACCAUGUUAUGUUUCAGUUUCCCAUAUAUUGAUAUUCCCAAUUGGAGUGCUUACACUUUGCUGGAUUUCUAAAUUACUUAGCAAUCUACACAUAAAAAGAUAUACUAAAAAGUGCAAUUACGUUUUUGCUUCUCAGGAAUAGCUCCAGAGGGUCCAUUUUGUUACAGCACAUAAACAUUUUGACAUUGCUACUUAUUUUUAAAUAUUUAGGAAUUUAGAAUUGUUUUUUUGAUCAGUACUCUAGUGGAUUUUCUAGGAAAGUCAUUAAUGUUUAUUGUGUAAAUCUUUCAUGGUUUCAAGUUGAGAUAGUAGUAGAGAAGUAACCAUUCCGGUCUGUUACUGGCUCAAUUAAGUCAUGCUGCUUUUUUAAUAUUUUGGACCUUUUUUUGUGUGAAUGUUUGCCUUUUAAGACUUUUGUUAAAUUAAUUUAAGAAAAAAGUCAUGUGGAUGGAAAGAAGCUUAAUUAUAUGGAGGACUGUAUUUAAAAUAAAAGGGAUUAACAGUGCUGGAAGUAACUUAAA